CAUAACAAAAUGAAAUGAAAACAAAAGGCUUGCUCUCGGCCUUUACUGUUGCUUACAGAGCAAAGAGAGUCUGUAUAAUAAAUAACUUAUAACUAGACAACAACUACAACGAAAUAACAAAAUGUUCUGCAAUUACUAUAGCUAACAGAGCGAAUUGGCAUAACCAGUUAUGAAUGAAAAUGUAAAUAUCACAGUUUGUACGAAUGUAUGUAUGUAUAAAAAUAUAAUGUAUAUGACAUAUGUUUAUAUGUUUCGACUCAAUCAUCAAAGAAGAGUAUUAGAAAACGAGUUGAGCUGUGCUCAUGGUGUCGUCUUGCGGAAAAAUUCUGGCAACAUGGAAGGGGCUGAUUCAUUGUCGAAAGUUUCAUUGAUUAUGGCAACUGGUGAAAGGUCAUUUUCGUGCGUGGCCAUUUUUUUGACGAAUAUUUCUAGAAGCUUGAAACCAUAAGAACACAAUGGUUCGAUGUCUGAAAUAUCGUAGAUGAUUUCCAUUUCUUUGGCCACUGUCGGAGAGAUAGUGAACCAGAUUGGAAAGCCGUAUAUCAGCACGGGUCUAAUGGCCACUUUGUAAAGCAGUAACUUAGUGGAUUGUGUGAUCCUCUGGCGUGUGGGUUGAAUUUAAGCAGCUUGUCAAAUGUGACGCCGAGAUAUUUGACUUUGGAUUCGACGGGUAUGCUGACUCCAU